ensembl:ncRNA F44E5.6 ncRNA
AAGAGUUUUUGCUAGAUUAGAAAUCUCGGUCACCAGUUAAAGUCUAGGCCACAUAUGACGUCAUCAACAUAAAAGCCACUUCGAACGUUUUCAUAAAUUGUCUUGUGAGGUGUUAUAGCUGUAUGUCCUCGUCAAAUUGUCCAGUCUAUUUUUGGAUACCAGAGACAACUCCUUUGAGGCCAAUAUAUGCGCGGAACGCGGAAAUGGGAUAUAUGGCGAUGAAAAA